GUGUGUGCUUGUCUCGAGGAUUUAGCCAUGCAAGACCUUCGAAGCAGUGCGGAGGGGGCAGACGGCUCAGUAAUACGGUGAUGAUUUACGCGCACGGAGGCGGAUAACCGUGGGAAACUACGGCUAAGACAUUUUACGGCGCG
rnacentral:rRNA from 1 species